rnacentral:rRNA from 1 species
AACUUCCGUUAAUUGAUUAUGACGUGCUUGCACUGAAUGAGAUUUUAACACGAAGUGAGUGGCGGACGGGUGAGUAACACGUGGGUAACCUGCCCAGAAGCAGGGGAUAACACCUGGAAACAGAUGCUAAUACCGUAUAACAGAGAAAACCGCCUGGUUUUCUUUUAAAAGAUGGCUCUGCUAUCACUUCUGGAUGGACCCGCGGCGCAUUAGCUAGUUGGUGAGGUAACGGCUCACCAAGGCGAUGAUGCGUAGCCGACCUGAGAGGGUAAUCGGCCACAUUGGGACUGAGACACGGCCCAGACUCCUACGGGAGGCAGCAGUAGGGAAUCUUCCACAAUGGACGCAAGUCUGAUGGAGCAACGCCGCGUGAGUGAAGAAGGGUUUCGGCUCGUAAAGCUCUGUUGUUAAAGAAGAACGUGGGUGAGAGUAACUGUUCACCCAGUGACGGUAUUUAACCAGAAAGCCACGGCUAACUACGUGCCAGCAGCCGCGGUAAUACGUAGGUGGCAAGCGUUAUCCGGAUUUAUUGGGCGUAAAGCGAGCGCAGGCGGUCUUUUAAGUCUAAUGUGAAAGCCUUCGGCUCAACCGAAGAAGUGCAUUGGAAACUGGGAGACUUGAGUGCAGAAGAGGACAGUGGAACUCCAUGUGUAGCGGUGAAAUGCGUAGAUAUAUGGAAGAACACCAGUGGCGAAGGCGGCUGUCUGGUCUGUAACUGACGCUGAGGCUCGAAAGCAUGGGUAGCGAACAGGAUUAGAUACCCUGGUAGUCCAUGCCGUAAACGAUGAUUACUAAGUGUUGGAGGGUUUCCGCCCUUCAGUGCUGCAGCUAACGCAUUAAGUAAUCCGCCUGGGGAGUACGACCGCAAGGUUGAAACUCAAAAGAAUUGACGGGGGCCCGCACAAGCGGUGGAGCAUGUGGUUUAAUUCGAAGCUACGCGAAGAACCUUACCAGGUCUUGACAUCUUCUGCCAACCUAAGAGAUUAGGCGUUCCCUUCGGGGACAGAAUGACAGGUGGUGCAUGGUUGUCGUCAGCUCGUGUCGUGAGAUGUUGGGUUAAGUCCCGCAACGAGCGCAACCCUUAUUACUAGUUGCCAGCAUUCAGUUGGGCACUCUAGUGAGACUGCCGGUGACAAACCGGAGGAAGGUGGGGACGACGUCAAAUCAUCAUGCCCCUUAUGACCUGGGCUACACACGUGCUACAAUGGAUGGUACAACGAGUCGCGAAACCGCGAGGUUUAGCUAAUCUCUUAAAACCAUUCUCAGUUCGGACUGUAGGCUGCAACUCGCCUACACGAAGUCGGAAUCGCUAGUAAUCGCGGAUCAGCAUGCCGCGGUGAAUACGUUCCCGGGCCUUGUACACACCGCCCGUCACACCAUGAGAGUUUGUAACACCCAAA